AAAAAGCGGAGGAAAAGAAACUAACAAGGAUUCCCCUAGUAGCGGCGAGCGAAGCGGGAAGAGCUCAAAUUUAUAAUCUGGCACCUUCGGUGUCCGAGUUGUAAUCUCUAGAAAUGUUUUCCGCGUUGGACCGCACACAAGUCUGUUGGAAUACAGCGGCAUAGUGGUGAGACCCCCGUAUAUGGUGCGGACGCCCAGCGCUUUGUGAUACAUUUUCGAAGAGUCGAGUUGUUUGGGAAUGCAGCUCAAAUUGGGUGGUAAAUUCCAUCUAAAGCUAAAUAUUGGCGAGAGACCGAUAGCGAACAAGUACCGUGAGGGAAAGAUGAAAAGCACUUUGGAAAGAGAGUUAACAGUACGUGAAAUUGUUGGAAGGGAAACGCUUGAAGUCAGACUUGCUUGCCGAGCAAUCGGUUUGCAGGCCAGCAUCAGUUUUCCGGGAUGGAUAAUGGUAAAGAGAAGGUAGCAGUUUCGGCUGUGUUAUAGCUCUCUACUGGAUACAUCCUGGGGGACUGAGGAACGCAGUGUGCCUUUGGCGGGGGUUUCGACCUCUUCACACUUAGGAUGCUGGUGGAAUGGCUUUAAACGACCCU
rnacentral:rRNA from 1 species